GGCUGGGGGCUCAGUGGUAGAGCACUUGCCUAGCAUGUGUGAGGCCCUGGGUUCGAUUCUCAGAGCCA
rnacentral:tRNA from 1 species